GAGAAACUGAGGCACAAAAGGGCAGAGUUAGCUGUCCAGACUCGCAGAGGGAUUUAGUGUUCCCGCAGGAUGGAGGGCCAGGCCUUGACCUGGCUGUCACACUCCUCCCUAUCUCGUCGUUGGAUCAAGGGAAGAUGCUGGGAUGGUCCUGGGAGGAAAGGGUGCCUUCAAGAUGACCCAGUCUAUGCCAAAUUAUCUAACCAGGUCACCACCUCCCAGGAGCAGGUCUUCUGGAUCACCAAGCUUCACGUCCCCCUGUGGCACUUCCAGUCCCCCAGCUUCUGUUUCUAAGGAGCAACACCACACCAAGCAAUGCCAUCUUCAAACUCAAAUGCAAGUGGGUUCCAGACUGUCGCUGAUGGCGGGGCUGUGGGAGGACAGAAGGAGCUA
rnacentral:lncRNA from 1 species